GCACCGUCGCCGGGGCGCGGUCGGCGCUGACGCUGCCGAGCAGCCGCCCGGUUCCGGUCUCCAGGAUGGCGAUC
rnacentral:tRNA from 1 species